UCCCGUGCGCUCGCCUCCCCUCCUCUCCUCCUCAAUCCCGUGCGCUCCCCAAGCCGCCGCCACGAUAGACCACGAGCCGCCACCGUCGACGUGCCUUGCCCCCUCGCGCCUCCUCCUCUGCGACUCCGAGCCGCCGCCAUCGCGCAUCUCCGCCUCAACCCACCCAACGCUGCGCUGGGACGGAGGUGGAGGAGCACGGAUUCGGAAGAGGUGUGCGCUCGUCCGCGCCCUCGAUUUCUUCCAGCGGCGGCUGCCCGCGUGCCCUCGAUUUCGUCCAACGGCGGCUGGCCGUGCGCUGGCGGCGAAAGGCGGCAACCGAGCGGUGGUGGCGGCUGGCGGCGCUCGCCCUCGAUUUCGUCCGAGCAUCCAGCGGCAGCGGAAGGGAGCAGAAGAGGCGCGCCGGCGGCGGAAGGCAGCAAUCGAGCGGUGGUGGCGGCGGCUGGACCGUGCGCGCCCUCGAUUUCUUCCUCGGCACUCCUGGAGUGGAGAUGCUCUCAGUCGCUUCCAUAGUAGGUCGCCUUGCCUCGCCUCGCCUAGCUGCACACCCUCGGUCGACUCCCGGCGUCGCGCGCUUGUCCGCCAUGCCCUAAGCCCGCUCCAGCCUCCAGCCUUGAUGUUGAUGAAAUUGAAAAGAUAAUUUAUAUUGAUGUGAGAGUUCUCAGAGGAGGAGGAAAAAACAGUUUCCCUAUUGCUGCUCUGUUGAUGUUUUUCAGAAGGUUGGUCUUGUUCUUGGACCUGAUUUUGUAAGCUGCUUGGUGCUUCCAGAUAUAUACGUAGCACAUAAUAACCACGUCGAGCAGGAUGGGUGGCGCAUCAGUGGAGUCAUCGCGCCAGCAUGUCGACUCUCGCCAGCCUCCACAAGCGGCGAAGACGGUUCAGCUUGGCCAUGGCGAUGGCAGUUUUCCGGAUCUGUGUUGUAGUUGUUGCUGCUGCUGGGCGAGCUGUUACAUAGUCACACCGAGGCUGACGCGCAACAAUGCUUGCAUUUACGGGGCAUCAUCUCAUGCGGACGUCGGCACUCGACAUCCGUCCGAUAUGAGCGAUUACCUGACGGAUUCAUCCCUGGAGUGAUACAUCAAAAGAUUACUCGGAUGGUGCCCAGAUAACACGAAGGAGGUUCUAGGAUUUAGUAGGCUCGCUUCUUGUCUCAUCCUGUACUAGGCUCUGGUUAUGUGCUCUUCUUCUGUGUUGAGUUAACGCAUAUGAGUAUGUGAUCUGCUAAAUAACACCGAGACAGUCCUAGGCAUGAGUGAAAUCAAGGACUUGUUUGAGGAUAUACCAGUGGCUGUAAGCUAAUGCGUUCUUGUGCCUAUUUUGGAUUUGUUUGGCCGUUUUCAGUUGUAAUCUCGAUGUGUUCCUUGAGCACUGGAAAUGAGUUAAUUCUAAAGUAAAGUUUGCAGGUACAUUGAUUCACCCUGUUGCUACCUUCAUUGGUGGAGUGACCAUCUAGGAAGUAAUCAAGGUCUUCAUUGUGUUCCAGAAAGAAAGAUGAGGCUGCCUUUUACUUAUUGUGUCGGAAGGAUGCAGCGCCACUGAAGACUUUUCUCUUUUUACCAGAGGCCAGUGAGAGCAUCAAGAGGAGCAUCGCCGAUGGCCAGCACCAAUCGAAGCCCCACGGAGAGAGGUGACAUGGGACCUCCUUCCCUGAUCUGCUUCAGCUUGCAGGGAAACCGUAGAGGAGACCUCUACGGUAAUUUUUCUAUUAAAAAAGAGGCACAAUUUACAAGAGAGGGGGCAUGGGGAAUUUACAUGAUGGGAGGUGGCAAGGGCGGGGAGAGAUACACUGUUUGUUGAUGCCUAGACCUGAUGCAUAUGGUUUUCCUUUUGGACUUGGGUAUAUGGUUAGUUAAAAAAUACCACCGUAUCUUCUAAGGAGAAAUAAUUUUGGUUUACCAUUGCAGAGUUCAUUGCUCCUUUUAUUGCUGACCAUGGUAUUUGCUUACAAGUUUCUCAACAUUAUAGGGUGAUCAUCUGCUUUGAAGUUCUCAUAUCAUGUCAUUCAACAUAUUUAGAUCACCAAAUGAUGCAUAAAUCAAGCUAUGUACAUUUGAAACUGCUUCAUUUAGAGAGCUAAUUCAUGGUAAAAAAACAAAUCAGCAAUGAAAAAAUAUAUUACAUUCUUUCUAUGAACAGAGUACGAUGAUUAUCAUCACUAUGUUGUAGGCAAAAGCCAGAGCAUUUUGUUUCUAUUUUCACGCGUUUUGAUUUCCUAUUUUCGGACGGACGGAGUAAGUUUCCAUUUUACACAAAAGCACCAUUUCAGGACUUUGGAAGCUUUGGAUUUCUAAUGCCAUGUUCUUUGUUCUUUCGGGGUUUCAGAUUCCAUAUGCCUAAUAUGCCUAAAUAACAAGGCUACUUCUUUCUUCAUUUAACUAUCUGUAUGAUGUUCUCUCAUAUUCUAUGUUUCCUAAGAAAUACCAAUGUAGAUUUUAUUCCUUGUGCAAAAGUGUUAUCUCAUUUUUUGCGUUCUAAUAUCAACUGCUGAGGGAAGUAGUACAAUAUACAUUUCCUCUAGAUGCAAUGAAACUUACAAAUGUGUUCUUAUUUUUUUAUGAAUACCGGUCUAAAAAGUGUCAUCUCUAGAUGCCAAAGGGCCUUGAAGGAUACAUCGUCGGUUAAGUUCCAUGGUGGGGCCAGCUUGACCCAAUGUCCUCGACCCGUGCUCUUCACGUGGUGGAUGGCAAGGGAGACUUCUCUAUUGCUUCAAUUCUCCAUCAUGUCGCCGGCCGUUGCUUCGCCUACUACUCCCACAUCAAGGCCACAGCGACAUCUGCUUGCAGUGAAGAAAAAAUGCAGUCUGGGGGAUGGUCUGCUUGCCGCUGUUGUUGAUGCCAGUAAGGUUCAUGAAUUUGGGUAUGGUGUUGCAGGUUACUCCACACAUGAGGGCAUGGGCUGACCCUGCCUCUCAUUUUUCUACUCAAUCUGAUGGUACCACGCGAGAGGCUGCUGGAUUGUUGAUGAUCAGCAUGGAUGGGAUAUGAUGUUGCUUGCUGCUGGGCAUUUUUUCCUUCUCUGAUUGAUCAACCUCCGGCAAAUGCUUCCAUCCAUAUGAAGAUGUUGAUCACUUGUCUGCACUUUAGAUGCCAGUACAUACUCAGGCCCCGUUCGGUGUGCGGGAAUUUCGUAGGAAUUUUGGGGGCUCGGUUUCCUCUGGAAACUUUUUCUUCGAAAGUGUUCCCUUCUGCUUCAUUCCGCCGGAAAGUUCGCCCACCAUAUUUUUCACAGAAAAUAUAACAUUCAACCAAACCAAAGGAAACACCAGGGAGAAAAGCUCUUUCCGUACGCUCCAUCUCGCUCCCACAGCCAAUCAAUCAACACAAAGGUUGAUGCAUCGGGGAAUUACUUAGGUGUCUAAGCUAACUUAUUUUUGAAGAUGUUAUCACCAGAAUUUGACCGAGUCAGAGGUGGGCCGCGAUCAAGAUGGACUUGAAGGAUAUACAUGGAAGAAUUACGUGAAUCGGCCUUAUAUGCAAAGUUGGGCUAGAUUGCCCAUAUAUCUGUAAUAUAGUAGAUCGUAUCUUAGAUAGAGUUUUACUUGUGCACGGUAGGUGCACGUCUAAAUUAGAAAGUCCCCUGGACUAUAAAUAUGUAUCUAGGGUUUAUGGAAUAAACAACAACCAACGUUCAACCAACAAAUCAAUCUCGGCGCAUCGCCAACUCCUUCUCCUC